rnacentral:rRNA from 1 species
AAUAUUGGACAAUGGGGGCAACCCUGAUACAGCAACGACGCGUGUGUGAAGAAGGUAUNAGGAUUNUNAAGAACUUUUAGUAGGGNAAGAGGGCUUUAGGUAUAUACCCUGAAUUUUUGACGGUACCAACAGAAUCAGCAGCGGCUAACUCUGCGCCAUCCGCCGCGGUAAUACAGAGGGUGCAAGCGUUAAGCGGAAUUACUGGGUUUAACGGACGCGUAGGUGGUUCAGUAAGUUAGGUGUGAAAGCCCCGGGCUGAACCUUGGAAUGGCUUUCAUAACUGGUGGUCUAGAGUAGGGUAGAGGGUAGUGGAAUUUCCUGUGUAGCGGUGAAAUGCGUAGAUAUAGGAAGGAACACCAGUUGCGAAGGCAACUACCUGGACUGAUACUGACACUGAGGUGCGAAAGCGUGGGGAGCAAACA